UACGUAGGGUGCAAGCGUUGUCCGGAAUUAUUGGGCGUAAAGAGCUCGUAGGCGGCUUGUUGCGUCGACUGUGAAAACCCGCGGCUUAACCGCGGGCUUGCAGUUGAUACGGGCAGGCUAGAGUUCGGUAGGGGAGACUGGAAUUCCUGGUGUAGCGGUGAAAUGCGCAGAUAUCAGGAGGAACACCGGUGGCGAAGGCGGGUCUCUGGGCCGAUACUGACGCUGAGGAGCGGAAGCGUGGGGAGCGAACAGG
rnacentral:rRNA from 1 species